UCCACGCAGUAAACGAUGAAUGUUAGUCGUCGGGGGCCUAGUGUCUUCGGUGAUGCAGCUAACGCAUUAAACAUUCCGCCUGGGGAGUACGGUCGCAAGAUUAAAACUCAAAGGAAUAGACGGGGACCCGCACAAGUGGUGGAGCAUGUGGUUUAAUUCGAAGAUACGCGAAGAACCUUACCUAGCCUUGACAUUGAUAGAACACAGUAGAGAUACAGUGGUGCCCUUCGGGG
rnacentral:rRNA from 1 species